ACUUGUAUAUGGCCCUGGGCUGCUGCUGGAUAUGGUUCUACUCCAAAACAGAAAAACUAUGGCAACAAGAGAAUAGAGACAAUGUGUCAGAAGAGAAACAGAAGCAGAGACAUCCAAAGUAUUUUUAUGUUGAUUCGGUGAGUCGUUUUGCUCUGCUGCACCAUCCUGUGAUGAAAUCUUACUUUUCUCAGGCAGAAAAGCUACAGGGGCCACUCAGUCAUGCACUAGAAUCUACCAACUGUGAGCUAAAAUGAGCCUGUUCUCUUUAUGAGAAAAGUAAAGCCCAUAUACAUUUUAACUACUUCUUUCAAAGUCACAUGUCUGGAAAAUGUGCAAGAUAGGAUUAAAGAUCUGUUAAGAUCACCUUGACUCAGCACAUCUGUAGCCCAAUGGAAGAAAGAAAAUAAAGACAUUGGAGGAGGCUUUGUUGAAGAUCUCCAGUCUUGAUGCUGAUUAUCGAUCAGGUGAUUAAGGCAGAUGAAGAGGUUUUUUGAAAGCUGAAGCCUCUGAUUGUGUCUCUCCAGUGUGCCCCGAAAGGGGUUGGGAAAUCAAUACCCUCAAUCACAGCAGAGAGCAUUUCUCUGUCAGUCACACAGGCAGAAGUGAUUAGAAUUGAGUCA